rnacentral:lncRNA from 1 species
AACAAGCACUCUAGCUAGUCUCUAGUUGAUUUUACAGAGAUGAAAAAUGUAUGUGCAUGAAUUCAUAAGGGGUAAGAGUAAAUGUACGAGCCUGCCAAUUUCAAAAAAAAAGGAAUGGUUUAAAUGAAGUACACUAUCCUGUUGACUAUAUAGUCUCUAGCCGAGAAUUUGCAACUCAAAUCCGGAUGGUAGCAAGAUUAAGGGGGUGUUUAGCAGCACUCCACUCCAGAAAAAUCAGCUCCACUCCACCAGCUCCACACUUUUCCAGCUUCACUCUACCAACUCUAGAAAAAUAUGAAGUUGUUGUACGUGUUUGGCAGAUUGUAGUGCUCCAGCUCCAUAAACAUGAGGACUUGGUGGGAAUGGUCUAUUUUGCCCAUGGUGGAU